UAGGGAAUCUUCCACAAUGGACGCAAGUCUGAUGGGCAACGCCGCGUGAGUGAAGAAGGUUUUCGGAUCGUAAAGCUCUGUUGUUGGUGAAGAAGGAUAGAGGCAGUAACUGGUCUUUAUUUGACGGUAAUCAACCAGAAAGUCACGGCUAACUACGUGCCAGCAGCCGCGGUAAUACGUAGGUGGCAAGCGUUGUCCGGAUUUAUUGGGCGUAAAGCGAGCGCAGGCGGAAUGAUAAGUCUGAUGUGAAAGCCCACGGCUCAACCGUGGAACUGCAUCGGAAACUGUCAGUCUUGAGUGCAGAAGAGGAGAGUGGAAUUCCAUGUGUAGCGGUGGAAUGCGUAGAUAUAUGGAAGAACACCAGUGGCGAAGGCGGCUCUCUGGUCUGCAACUGACGCUGAGGCUCGAAAGCAUGGGUAGCGAACAGG
rnacentral:rRNA from 1 species